rnacentral:rRNA from 1 species
GAUGAACGCUGGCGGCGUGCCUAAUACAUGCAAGUAGAACGCUGAAGGAAGGAGCUUGCUCUUUCCGGAUGAGUUGCGAACGGGUGAGUAACGCGUAGGUAACCUGCCUGGUAGCGGGGGAUAACUAUUGGAAACGAUAGCUAAUACCGCAUAACAGUAGAUGUUGCAUGAUAUCUACUUAAAAGGUGCAAUUGCACCACUACCAGAUGGACCUGCGUUGUAUUAGCUAGUUGGUGAGGUAACGGCUCACCAAGGCGACGAUACAUAGCCGACCUGAGAGGGUGGUCGGCCAACCUGGGACUGGGAACCGGCCCAGACUCCUUCGGGAGGCAGCAGGAGGGAAACUUCGGCAAUUGACGGAAGUCUUACCGAGCAACGCCGCGUGAGUGAAGAAGGGUUUCGGAUCGUAAAGCUCUGUUGUAAGAGAAGAACGAGUGUGAGAGUGGAAAGUUCACACUGUGACGGUAUCUUACCAGAAAGGGACGGCUAACUACGUG